ensembl:miRNA
GAGGUGGGAGAAUUGCUUGAGACCAGGAGUUUGAGGAUGCAGUGAGCUAUGAUUGCACCACUGCACUCCAGCCUGAGUGACAGAGCAAGACCUUGUCUC